GUAGCUUUUGGCUGAAUUUCUACUCAUCUCACCACUAUAACUUCUUUAACGUUGCGACUUUCCCUAUUUUCAGAUCGCCACCCAUCUCUUACAAAUCUGAAAUAGUCAACAGACUCUGGUCCAGUGUUAACCAACAACUUUGGUGCUUCUUCAUUUGAACUCAUAUUGGCUAUUGAAAGGUUAAAAUCAACUGUUGAUAUAUCUGUUUGAUUAGUGGUUUGACAAUUUGGAUUGAUCACGUUUGCUACGUGCGGCGAUGAUGGGUGACUCAUCGUCGGUGACGGUGGCUGGACGGCGUUCGCUAACGAAAAGCCUGGAAGCGGAAGUCGCGAAUGGGUGCUCCACACAAGUCUAGAAGCAGUGACGGAGGCGUUUCGAGAAGGAACGCGUGGCUGUUUAAAUGGGAACCACCGUCGGGAACAGACAGUGUGGUCCAGACAAUGGAAGAAGUAAAAUCUAGUCAAAUUCAUUCCAGUCGGAUUUAUUUUGUACAUAAUCGCUCUGUAAUUAGUCGUGUAAAUUUGAAUUACUCAGAAAUAAAUUGUUGAGUUUUA